GUAACUGCUUUUAUGUUGUUGGCAAUUGUAUUUGUAAGGGUGUGAUGACUAAGCUUCACAUGUUUCUAUUAAUACAAAGUUGGCUGUCAUUGAUAUCAAUACUUGCUGUUGCAUAAAGUGAGAAAUACUUUCGAUAACCACUUAAAAAUGGGUAGGAACUUCUCAAAUACACACUGCAGUAUAGAUUUGGUUUUAAUAGUUCUCAGUGGUUCAGUGCCAAGGAAGCCUCAUUUCUGUCAGGGCAUGAACAGCUUGCUUGUUUUUUCAUUAUUUGCCAAUCGCAGUGGAAAUGAUGCAGCACAAAAAACUGCUGACUGAAGAGUCAGUUGUAUUUUCUAGGUACUUUCUGGUUUUGAAAUAACACUAUAGAUUAUCACAAGUGGUGCAGUUGUUUGAAUUCAACUUCUGCCAACUUUUUACACUGCUGACGCUGAGGAGCCAUCCACUGCUGCAGGCAGCCAUGAUUUACCAGAACAGGGGAACAACCAGAAGGACGUGAAUUAACGUGCGCUGGAGCAAGGUGACACAACUCCACCGGUACUAUAAAUCGGCAUACCCCCAUGAACAAUAAUAAAGAUGGUGAGUCUCUCAAUCAAGAACGACAGCAUUUUCACCAGAUGAGGCCUGGGAUGGGGCGCUCUGACAAGCAAAGCACGAUCCUACAGUGCCCUUAGGCAUAAUCUGAAAGCAAGUGCCCCCCACCCACCCUGGAGAGCCGAGCAGACUCACACCCCGGGAACUUUCCAGUGGUUCGCACAGCCCAGCCUCGAGGGGAUCCGCCGGGCUCCGUGUCUGUCCUCGGAAGGGUCACCAUAUUACCUGGGGUCUAUGCACCCAUCUGCACUUCUACCCUACAUUUAGGUAGGACAUUCAGCUUAUGCCUAAAUAAUUAGCAAAGACAUUAACAAAAGCUUGCGUUGGAAAAUUAAAGAACAACAUUUUAUUUGCAAGCAUUGCUCUUCAGUGAUUCUUGUGAGGAGCUAGAAGAUGUAAAAUAUUGACCGGAGAAAAAGGAAAAGGAGGCAACUUCUCAAAUCAAAUAGCUAGUGUUUUAAACGUACUGCAUUUUGUAUAGCAGUUAAAACAGCAGCUGUGAGCUGGUGAAAUAGUAUAACUGCAAAUACUGGACUGUGGGAUGAGUUUGGAAAUAUAUCUAGGUAUAUCUAGGUGUAAAAAAUAUACCUGGUUAUCUAAAACCAAGGUCCACUUACAUCCAAAAUGUUAAACCAAGCAAUAUGUUCCUUGCUUCUCCUUCUGAACAUGGCUCGGUUUACUCCAUGCUUCCCUCUUUGACCUGAGCACCCUCUCAGUGCCUCCAGUUGAUGGGGACACUGUCUUCAAAGCUGACAAGGCUUUCCAUUUCCUUCCUCUGAGCAUUUUUUGAUUGAUUUUUGUAGAAAUUACUAAAAAGUCACGGAUAACAAAACUGCCAUCACCAGUUUUCAUUAGUUCUUCUCAUCUCCUUCUAUUCAUUAGUUCUCCAGACAUUAGCCUGUUUCUGUUGAUCAAUUAUUCUCCUGAACACAUCACAAGGAUUUUAUUUUAAUCCAUGUGCAUUAUUUUACGCUUGUAAUUGACAGGUUAUAAGAAUAGGUAGCAGGCCAUUAAAAAUGUGAAAAUUAGCACGGAUUAAACUGAGCUGUUUCAGAUGCUGUCAAGGUUUCAAACAGCAAAAUACAACAUACUGCCAACUAUGCUAGCUAACUUCCAGGUCCAAUAUGUACUCGAUUCAUUGGCUAGAUGGCCACCAUAGUUGAGCAAAUAUUAUGGGAGAUAUAUAUAUAUAUAUAUAUAUAAAAAAAUGAAGCUUCAUCCAGAGGAAAAAAAUGGUAUUUAGGUUGAUAAUGCCCUGGAAAAUCCUUACAGUGAAAGCAUAAAAUGUAACUGCUGAAGGCAUGAAGUAGUUAACAAAAAACUCCUCUGGAAAACAAAUUAGAAGUGCUGAGAAAAGUUGUAUUGUUGCCUGUUGAAUUUAAACUCAUCCUGCUUAUAGAAAUGUUAAAGUACAAAAUAUGUUUAUGUUACCAGAUAAAGGCAGGAAACAAAUUUCUAGGAAAAUGGGUUCCAGGCAGGAAAGGUGCCUCCAGACUAUCAGUGCCAAAGCAGACAUACUAGAGAUAGACUCCUCUCCCUACCCUACAGGUGGUGAGGGAGAAAUAAGCUUAUUCUGGGGAGAAAAGUUGUUCCUGUUGGUUAAGAGAGGGAAAAAAAAGAAAGAAAAAAAAGGAAAAAAAAUGAAAAAAGAAGUAAAGAAGGGGCUGAAAAGAGCAUUGAGGAAAAAUAAAUCAACUGGUCAGUAAGAGAUUAGAAAGCAGAAUAAUUAUGAAACAAGUAGUUUAUUGCUAGAGACUCCUCAGGGGAAAGUGCCCAUCAAGAAAGUGAAUUGAAAGUUAAUAUAGACAGUGAUUAUGUUGCUACCAAUAAAUUCCACUUUUUAAAUAAAGUUUUGGUGUGGAUAUUAAAUUAAAAUUUCUAUAGAAACAGCCAUCUGACAGCAGGUUGGAGCAGUUCUGAUGAGAACCACAAUGAAAUGGUUCGAUUCACAAAAGAAAAUGAGGAACAAACGUUCUAGCAGAAAGAACAGAUAACAGAAAAGUUCAGUCCUGAGACUGUUUAUAAACAGCAGUAAAAUUAAACAUUUCAGCUUUAUCAAAAUGGACUGUUGGUUUAUACCAACAAUGCAUGAAUAAACUGCACAUGGAAUUUCCAGAAAUAAUUAGGCAGAAGGAAGGAUGAAAUCGGAGCUGACUUCACAGAGUGCGUAGCCCAGCUUUAAAGAAAAUUAGUAACAAGAUCCAGGAAGGAAUCACCUGGAAUAGCAACUGAAAAAAAUAGCAACUCAGAGCAGCUUGUCAGCUGUUCAGAGUGAAUGUACGUAAUGGGCUGCAGAUGGGGGCACGGCAAAGGAUGCUGGGGAGCGCCGGGGGGAUGCAUCCCUCUCCCCUCCCCAGCGGGUGUGGUCCUGCUUGGGGUCCCCAGGAGUUCCUGCAGCAGCGGAGAUACAGUGAAAACUGGACCCUCAGAUAACAACGAAAGAGGAAUAAAUACAGCGUCAUUCUGCCCGCGGAGCAUCCCAGCAGAAGAGCACAUGCCUCAGAGCGGUGAUUUCCCCUUGUGCCUCUGCACUGGCCAGGGUAAGGUAGGAAGCAGUGGAGACAAGGCUGUCCUCUCCCGCUGCCGCCUCAUACGCUCCUACUGACAUGUCGGGUGCUUGCAGUGAUGCAGAGCCUGUUUUCAUGCCUGUGUUGCAGGGAAUACUGUAGGUCGUUAGCACAGAGAAAUAAAGGACAGCUUGUAUUUUUUCUGUCCCCUUUGCUGCUGGAAUUGCUGGGGAACAUUUUGGUGCCAAAAG